GGAGCGGUAGAGCAGGUCGCUGGAACAGCCGCCUGUAACGCCGGGAUCGAGGGUUCGAGCCCUGUCCGCUCCGCCA
rnacentral:tRNA from 5 species